rnacentral:ribozyme from 14 species
AUGUUUUGUUCCACCACUUCUUCUUUGUCUUCUUCUUUGUCUUCUUCGUCCUCUUCUUUCAAGGUGAAUGUGUUUUCGUUGGGAAAAAAUCAGGAAGCGAGGACGAAUCCGACGCACGUUCA